UCAGCUUGAUAACUCCUAUCUACAUCAAGAUCUGGCCCUGCUCUCUGGUGAUGUUCGCCCAUUCCGUGGCACCCGCACGAAAAGAAAGAUCGGCAAAUAGCGUACCAAGAAGAUCCGCCUCUCUAAUUCACUUGGCAAAAGACAGACCAAGCAGACAGUUGAGUUCGCAGCUACAGGCGCAACAGGCCAAUGAACAUCGAGAGUCACCCUAUUCAGUAAGUCAAAGAGGAAGGAAAGGAGUGGAUUCUCUCUUAUUGUAUGUGUAUGAGUAUGAUCAACAAGAAAGCCAUAACAGAAAUGAUAAGAAGGUCUUCCAUCAAUCAUACAAA
rnacentral:lncRNA from 1 species